UACGAAGGGGGCUAGCGUUGUUCGGAAUCACUGGGCGUAAAGGGCGCGUAGGCGGCUUUAUAAGUCGGGGGUGAAAGCCUGUGGCUCAACCACAGAAUUGCCUUCGAUACUGUAGAGCUUGAGACCGGAAGAGGUAAGUGGAACUGCGAGUGUAGAGGUGAAAUUCGUAGAUAUUCGCAAGAACACCAGUGGCGAAGGCGGCUGACUGGUCCGGUUCUGACGCUGAGGCGCGAAAGCGUGGGGAGCGAACAGG
rnacentral:rRNA from 1 species